UACAGAAAUAUGCACAGCGGGCCCUGCCUCCAGUUCCCAGGAUGCUGCAAACGUCUGGACUCUUACCAAGGAAAGGUGAACACCAAGAGGAAGAGCCAAGAACUGAUGCUGCAAGUGAAAUCUUCAGGUGGCAUAAUCACAUACGCAAAUCAAUGGAUCCAUCUGUCAUUUUCCCACCAAGAGGACUCUAGAAGAAGAUUGCUACUGGGCUCCCUGUGAGAGGCUGCACACCCUGGCUGUAAAGGGCAUUGACAUGGAGCUAGACCGCCUAAGGUGGAACCUUCACUCCUGCUUAGGAGCUAUGUGACCUUAGGCAAGAUUCUGUAAAAUGGAGAUAAAGAUUUCUACCUCAUAGGUUUAUUAUGGGAAUUGAAUUAAAUGAGCUUAUCUCUGUAAAACAUUUACACAUAGCGCACACUACACACGUAUUAAAUAAAUAAAUUUGC